GAUGAACGCUGGCGGCGUUCCUAAUACAUGCAAGUCGAGCGAACAGACGAGGAGCUUGCUCCUCUGACGUUAGCGGCGGACGGGUGAGUAACACGUGGAUAACCUACCUAUAAGACUGGGAUAACUUCGGGAAACCGGAGCUAAUACCGGAUAAUAUAUUGAACCGCAUGGUUCAAUAGUGAAAGACGGUUUUGCUGUCACUUAUAGAUGGAUCCGCGCCGCAUUAGCUAGUUGGUAAGGUAACGGCUUACCAAGGCAACGAUGCGUAGCCGACCUGAGAGGGUGAUCGGCCACACUGGAACUGAGACACGGUCCAGACUCCUACGGGAGGCAGCAGUAGGGAAUCUUCCGCAAUGGGCGAAAGCCUGACGGAGCAACGCCGCGUGAGUGAUGAAGGUCUUCGGAUCGUAAAACUCUGUUAUUAGGGAAGAACAAAUGUGUAAGUAACUAUGCACGUCUUGACGGUACCUAAUCAGAAAGCCACGGCUAACUACGUG
rnacentral:rRNA from 1 species